UGAAUAAGGGGUGGGCAAGUUCUGGUGUCAGCCGCCGCGGUAAAACCAGCACCUCAAAGUGGUCAGGAUGAUUAUUGGGCCUAAAGCAUCCGUAGCCGGCUCUGUAAGUUUUCGGUUAAAUCUGUACGCUCAACGUACAGGCUGCCGGGAAUACUGCAGAGCUAGGGAGUGGGAGAGGUAGACGGUACUCGGUAGGAAGGGGUAAAAUCCUUUGAUCUAUUGAUGACCACCUGUGGCGAAGGCGGUCUACCAGAACACGUCCGACGGUGAGGGAUGAAAGCUGGGGGAGCAAACCGGAUUAGAUACCCGGGUAGUCCCAGCUGUAAACUAUGCAAACUCAGUGAUGCAUUGGCUUGUGGCCAAUGCAGUGCUGCAGGGAAGCCGUUAAGUUUGCCGCCUGGGAAGUACGUACGCAAGUAUGAAACUUAAAGGAA
rnacentral:rRNA from 1 species